rnacentral:lncRNA from 1 species
UCUUUAUGGCCAACAGGACUGGCUUUCCAAUUAGGGUAGCAAUGUGCAAUUUCAUUUUACAAUAAACGCAUUUGAGCCUUUUAAGAGCAUGUAGAUAUAAAAGAUACUUAAGUCGAUAAUAGAGGUGGUGGCAGAUGUAAUGAUAACAAUAAUUGCAGAGGUUUAUUGAGUGCUUCCUAGGGGCCAGGCGUGAUUCCAAGUGCUUCCUAUUUAUUAACUCAUUUCAUCCUCAUCACCACUGGGUUGCUUCUAUUUUUAGCCCCACUUCACAGUAACUUAAGUACCUUGCCAGGGCCACAUGACCAGGAAAUGGAAGAGCUGAGAUUUGAACCCAGACCCCCCAACUCCAGAGUCCCUGGUCUUAAGCGGUUACGCACAUGUGGCGCGAAUGAGUGGCAUCUGGAGAACGCUGGCCCGGGUUGUGUCUGGGGUGACCAACUUGCCCUAGUUUGCCUGGAACUUUGUUGGUUUUAAACCUGGAAGUCCUGUGUCCAGGGACACUGCUAGCCAUGCAGUUAUGUCUCAGUCUUUCCCCAUCUCUUCUGGGAUUGCAUCACCGUAUAUGGCGGCGACGUGAGCCAAGCAUAUGGAACCAACCACAAGCUGCCAGGUCUGCAUGGAUGGCGAGGAGUAAACACACACAUCUCCUAACAAAGUACAUAACACCCAAAAACCCUCGCCCGAAAAUAACACAGUAAAGUGCCUGAUGGCUGUUAUGUCACCAACAGUGACACUUGCCUGAUCGGUAGAAACAACAGAGAGAAAACAUCCCAUGUCUCUAUCUACAGCUGAGUAAAAAGUGUCAUAUCUGGAUGUACAGAAAUACUAAAUCCUGGCACACUGGCCUGUAUCGUGCAGAAUGAAGGGACCCCAUCGGCGCAUCUGAAAUAACACUGACGAUGAUGAGAAUAAUAAUAACGUAGUGAGGAUGGUAGCUGCUCUGGAUGGAGCAUCCACUCUGUUCCAACAUAGUGCUAAGCCCUUGAUGUGCAUUAUGGGAAUUAAUCCACACAGCCCCUGUGGUGUCCUACUGUUGUCAUCACCUCCAUUCUACAGAUGAGGAAACCAGCACAGAGAGGUUUUAAAAGUUGCCCAGCUCACACAGCUAGGAAGUGAUGAAGUGGAGACUCACCCAGGCGGCCUUUCUCCAGGGCUGUGCUCUUGACCCCAGGAGAAGAUACAGCCCACUGUGUAGAUUCUGUGGGUGAAAAUGCACCCUGGGACUCUGCCUCAUUCUUUUUCAUGACUGUAGAGUAUUCCAUAGCAUGGCUGUACUGUGGCUCAUUCAACUGGUUUCCUCUUGACGGACGUGGAGGUCGUUCCCAGGUUCUUCUGUUAUAAACAGUUCUGCAACGUACACGCACAUCUCUGUCUUCCAGGGCACAGUGCUGACUGUUUCUCUAGGAUGGUGUGGUAGGCAGAACCCUAAAGAUGCCCCCAGGAUUCUCAGCCCCAGGUCCUCCAGACACUGACCUAGGUAUUGCUGGGAAGCGAUGUUGCAGAUUUAAUUAAGGUCCCAAGUCAGUUAACUGCAAAUGUGCAGAUUAUCCAGCUGGGCUCAAUCUGAUUGCAGGAGCCCUCUGAAAGCAGAGAGUUUCUCUGGCUGGGAGCAGGAGAGGAAGCCAGCAAGAUGUGAAGCAUGGGAACACCCUGCCGCUGGCCGGAAGGUGUGGAGUCUCUGUGAAGAGGCAGGCAGGUGGCCUCUAGAAGUCGAGUUGCCUCUCAAUUGACAACCAGCAAGUAAUUGGGGACUUUAGUCCUACAACCGCAAGGAACUCACUUCUGCCCGUAGCAGGAAUAAGCGUGGAAGAGGAUCCUGGGCUCCAGAUAAGCACCUGGAGGCUGACACCCUGCCUUCAGCCUGAGCAGGAACUCAGCUGCUCCGGGCUGACCGUGUGACCUGUGGAACUGGGAGCCCAUGGUGGGAGCUGUUACAGGACUGCCCACGGCGUUAAAAAACCAGAACCCAAAGGCACAUGGAUUGACAAUACUGCCUUCUCUGCCCGAUGACUCACCCCAUGUCCGGCAAAGUCAUUCCUCGUUCUCUCUUUAAGGAGUCCUUGGAACCGCAGUCAAAAAUUAGGGUCAUCUGUCUGGGAAGUAUCAAUGUCACUUUGACAUUAUUGAAUGGUUUCGAAUGGCACAAAAGUUUUUGAAGGGGCCCGGUACAGAAGCUGGAACCCAGGGGGAUCUAUGAUGUCACACUUCUCAUGGCCAGAUCGGGCCUCCGGGUUCUAGGUUCCAAGAAGAUGCCCGACUUCCUGGGAACUGUCCGUCCCUCCUCCCUCCCGGGAGCCCAAAUUCCAAGAAAUGCAGCUAAAAUUGGCCCUCGAACAGCUUUUGCAUAGCACGUCGCAGCUUUUUUUGGGUCUAGAGAGUCGGCUUUCAUGAUGAAAGUGGCACAGAAGGAGAGACCCAGCUAAAAACAGCCACCGCCCAGGAGCUCCGCGGAAGUAGUUCUCCCAAGGGCCGUCUUAGCGUCUCAGAAGCAAAGCUAAGGGAUCGUCCGAGCCGCGUGGUGGCCCCGCUGCAGGCCUGUCACCCGCCCCCAGCCCACAGGACUAGGUCUCUGUUGACUAAUGCCCACCUGAUACGAAAUGACUGAAGCUUGGAAAUAAAAAUGAUUCCAGCAUUAUAAUCAGAAUUCUAAUGAGCUCCCACGGACGCGGAAUGCGAAAUGAGCUUGAGAUGGGGCCCCUCCUUUGGAUAUGACGGAACUGGUGAUUCAAGUUUUGUACGCAUUUGCUGUCGUGUGUUGUGUAUGACGCCGGCCUGGUGAGUGCUCUUUCUGUCGAGGGCCCGCCACGGGUCCUGCUGCGUCCAGGUCCCUCCUGCGUGAUGGCUGUCAUCGCCAUCUCCAUCCUCAUCAUCCUUAAGGUCGACUUGGAAGAUUUGGACUCAGUUGAGCAGAGACUAAAAACGUUAGAAGAUCAGCCAUCACCUGGCAGGUACCCGGUGAUGCCGAUGCUGCUGGCUCCUGGGUGCUACUUUGAGGAGCCAUCUUCGAAGACCGGUGGAAGUGCUUUGUACUGUUUGUACCUUUUGGAAAUGUUGUGUGAUCAUCAACAAGUCAACUCACCCGUCUUGGUCUCAGUUUCCCCAUCCGUCAAAUGGACAAGAUGUCACCAUCAUAGGAUGGGCGGAGAGGCCUAAGCAACACAAUGGAUGCAAAGUGCCUGGCCCAUCGUGUCAAGGAAUGACCUGAACAGCUGAGGAAGAUGCUCCAUGGAUGCCAACACUUGCUCGUCUCCCCUGCCUUGGACCCCAACUUUCCAAACCGCACUUCUCUUCCCUUUGCAUGUCUAGAAGAUGGCCUGGGCCAUAGUUAGGAGUUCAGCAUUGGGAGGUUAUAUUCUCUGAGCAGCAAGACCAACACCUGAGGCCCCUCUAGUCCUGAUUGUAUCCUGUGUUGUCAGGGAGAACAGUGUCUGGCGUCCUGUCGAUCUUUCUAGAAGGGAAGAGUAAAAGCAUUGAGAUGGCAAGCGUGUGGACCAGGCAGGCAGGAUGCUAGCCUCCCUCUGCGCCAGCCCGCUAGGCAGUGGCUACGUCUUCCCAGGGCUAAGGAGAUUCCCGCUUCCCAGAGUGCCACUGUGCCCUGCAGCAAGGCGAGACGGGGGGAGCUGUCCGGGGCCCGGCUUCCUCCCCCAGCACAGACGCCUCAGUGACCGCUCCGGGCUGGCCGCGAUGUGUGUACCUUUGCUGUCUGCACCCAGCCUCGGACUCGCCCCCAGGAACCCAGGCAGAGGAUAAACCUCACCCCUGCCUCUGGGAGCCCGGUCGGGGUGCAUUAGGCCAGUGCACAGAGCAGCUGGGGUGCGGAGAAAAGGAUAGUGGACUUGGAGACUGACUCCAAGUGCCUGAACACUCUCUGGCCUCAGCUUUCUCAUCCACAAAAUGGGACCAUAAACCUUGAUUCAGAGAGGCAGGGCAGUAGAGGGCAGCAGCCCAGCCUGUCUGGAUUUUGAUCUUGGCUCCCCCGCUUGUAAGCUGUGCUUUUCCCAGAAAAUUACUUUAUCUCUCUGAUCCUCAGGUUGCUUUACUGUAAAAAGGGUGGUAAUGAUGGUACCUGGACCUCAUAGAGUUAUUGUGGAGACGAAAACAAAAUAAAGUGAGUAAAGUGCUUAGCCUGUCCCGUG